AUUAUUAUCAGUCUUGCGGCACUUUUUGAUACAAAAAUAGAUACUAUAAUGAUGUCAAAGUCUUCUUUAAGCAUGCAUGAUUCAUUGUUUAGUUCCGCUUUUUGCACAAUGAUGUUUUCAGAUGAACAAAGUUAAGCUAAAAUGAUAGAAAUACAUGUUUUACCGUCUAAAUACACAACUUGGGAUUUACUUGCUUGACAAUUCAUUCGUACCAGAUAUGAACUGCAGCUGUAUUUUAUGUAUUAUUAUGGUGGUUUAAAUGUUCAGCGUUUACAGUCCGUGGCGGUCCCUUCUGCUGCGCGUCUCGACGCAGUGCGCAGCUCUGACGCGCAGGAAGGAACAGACAGAGCGGAAGAAGUCCCACUCGGCACCGAGAAUUUAACCAAAAGCGUUCCUUCCAGCAGACCGCCGUUUAUUUGUACUAAUACUGAUCCGUUUAGAUCCUGUCAGUCUUCACCACGUGGCCAUAAGAUUUGUCAUGUUGACCAGAGAUGCAACCAAAGUCUGUUUCCAUAUUGAGGUGAUAGGUUGCAGCUUUUUUUUUUUUUUUUUAAAGAACAUCCCUAAAUGCUGGUUUGUCAUUUUGGUGAUCAGAGACGCAACCACUUGUCUCCAUCCAGAUUGAGGUGAUUGAUUGCAGCUUUUUGUAAAUGCUGGUGUCAGUGAGUGCACAUUUGUGAAAGAAUGGGUCGCUGUCGGGAGCUCAGGGAAUUCCAGCGUGGAACUGUAAUGGGAUGCCACCGGUGCAAGAAAUCCAGUCGUGAAAUUUCCUCGCUCCUAAAUAUUACACAGUCAACUGCCAGCCGUGUUACAAGAAAAUGGAAGUGUUUGGGAAUGACAACAAAUCUGCCACAAAGAGGUAGGCCACGUAAACUGACGGAGUGGGGGUCAGCAGAUGCCGAAGUGCAUCCGCUGCAGAGUCAAUCACUACAGACCUCCAAACUUAGUACCAGCGAAAGGAACUCUGAAUGCUUCAGCAUACCAAGACAUUUUGGACAGUUCCACACUCCCAACUUUGUUGGAACAGUUUGGAGCUGGCCCCUUCCCCUUCCAUCCACUGAUGGACUGUGCAUCAGUCCAUCAGCAGAGUCUGGUGUGGAUGAACUUGACUGGGUUUGUAAUGGUCAAAAAUUCCCAUAUAUGCACUCGUUAAUCUUGUGGACAGCCUUCCCAGAAGAGGUGAAGCUGCUCUAGCUGAAAAGUGUGGACCGUCAUUGAAUCCUAUGGAUUAGGAAUGGGAUGUCACUUAAACUCAUAUGUGAGUCAAGACAGAUGAGCGAAUAGUUUUGCCAAUAUAGUGUAUUACAAUUCUGUAAGUUUAAUUUAAGGCUGCUGUUAAAUUGAUGCUUGACUCAAAUCUGUUAUUUCUUAUUUUAUACUUUGUGUGAAAAUGCAUGCUUCUAUUUGCUUUUCACUUUGCUACUGCAGGGCAAUAAAGUAUAUUUCUUUCUAAAAUGUUUUUUUUGUCUUUCAAGUCACAUUUCUGCAAUUGCUGCAGAAUGUGUGACUUUGAAUUGUGUUGCUUUUUCUUCCUACCUUACUGAAUAUUUUGAGAGAUGUUACUCCUCUGUAAUAUACGCAUCGGCUCCUGGUGCGAACGUAUAGACAAAGCGUAAGAUAAUCUGGUGGAGCUCGUCCAGAGCGGCGUCUCUCCUUUGUAGACCAUCCACAUCUCCCAGGUCACAAGGAAAAACUGCAUCAGGGGGGAUAACCAGGGCAGAGGCCCCUGGAGGAGACACCAGUACAGGAGGAAGACUAAAUGUACAAUUAGUCAGUGAAAUGCUCUCACAAUAUUUAAAUGUACAUAUUACAUAUAUCAGAUGAUGUAACAGCGUUUAUCAUGGUGUUAAUUACCAGAGGAAAGUUGGUGGAUAUAAACAAUUUCUAUAUUCCAUGCUACCUCUACUCACUGGGUGUAUUAGAAGUGUGAAAGAAUAUCAUUAGGACUUCAGAACCCUGAAAUGGACCGUAUUGAUAGUGAACUGCUGUCAGCUGUACCAUAAAAUGAAUCCUGUUAACAAUGUCUGUGUAGAUGUUGCGCUACAAUCUGAUGUAAGAACCCGGUUAACUUUUUAUGUUUUUCCCCUUUUUUUUGUGCAGUGUCUGGGAGUAAAUGGAAAAAAUAUCAAAUUCGUUUCAGUAAAUACUUUUGGCAUCCUUAAACUGUAUUUACAUUGCUCUGACCCAUUAUGUGUCCAUUGUAUCAUGGUGCAAUAAGUCAUCAGUGUCAAAGUACUUUAUUUUUAAAGCAGGUUAUGCUUUUAAUAUUGUUAAAAUUAUCCAAGAGCUUGAUUGGCCAGCAAACUAAACCCGACAGUAAAUCAAUUUGUCAGGGAUGCUAUUAAAGCAAACCCGACUAAAUGCUGCACUGUAUCCCAACAUAUGUUUAUGUAACACAUUUAUCAGUAUUUUUGUCAUAAUUUAUUCAUUUCUAGCUGUGAGACAUGAUCAUACAAAUGACCAGAAAUAAACAGUGUGUGUGCAUUGAA